GCAAGUCGAGCGGUAGCACAGAGAGCUUGCUCUCGGGUGACGAGCGGCGGACGGGUGAGUAAUGUCUGGGAAACUGCCUGAUGGAGGGGGAUAACUACUGGAAACGGUAGCUAAUACCGCAUAACGUCGCAAGACCAAAGUGGGGGACCUUCGGGCCUCAUGCCAUCAGAUGUGCCCAGAUGGGAUUAGCUAGUAGGUGGGGUAACGGCUCACCUAGGCGACGAUCCCUAGCUGGUCUGAGAGGAUGACCAGCCACACUGGAACUGAGACACGGUCCAGACUCCUACGGGAGGCAGCAGUGGGGAAUAUUGCACAAUGGGCGCAAGCCUGAUGCAGCCAUGCCGCGUGUGUGAAGAAGGCCUUCGGGUUGUAAAGCACUUUCAGCGGGGAGGAAGGCGUUAAGGUUAAUAACCUUGGCGAUUGACGUUACCCGCAGAAGAAGCACCGGCUAACUCCGUGCCAGCAGCCGCGGUAAUACGGAGGGUGCAAGCGUUAAUCGGAAUUACUGGGCGUAAAGCGCACGCAGGCGGUCUGUCAAGUCGGAUGUGAAAUCCCCGGGCUCAACCUGGGAACUGCAUUCGAAACUGGCAGGCUAGAGUCUUGUAGAGGGGGGUAGAAUUCCAGGUGUAGCGGUGAAAUGCGUAGAGAUCUGGAGGAAUACCGGUGGCGAAGGCGGCCCCCUGGACAAAGACUGACGCUCAGGUGCGAAAGCGUGGGGAGCAAACAGGAUUAGAUACCCUGGUAGUCCACGCCGUAAACGAUGUCGAUUUGGAGGUUGUGCCCUUGAGGCGUGGCUUCCGGAGCUAACGCGUUAAAUCGACCGCCUGGGGAGUACGGCCGCAAGGUUAAAACUCAAAUGAAUUGACGGGGGCCCGCACAAGCGGUGGA
rnacentral:rRNA from 1 species